rnacentral:rRNA from 1 species
UACGUAGGCAGCAAGCGUUGUUCGGAAUUACUGGGCGUAAAGGGUGCGUAGGCGGCUUUUUAAGUUUGGUGUGAAAUCUCCCGGCUCAACUGGGAGGGUGCGCCGAAUACUGAAUGACUAGAGUGCGGGAGAGGAGAGUGGAAUUCCUGGUGUAGCGGUGAAAUGCGUAGAUAUCAGGAGGAACGCCGGUGGCGAAAGCGCUCGACUGGACCUCUUCUGACGCUGAGGCGACGAAAGCUAGGGGAGCAAACGGG